UACGGGGGGGAGCAAGCGUUGUUCGGAUUUACUGGGCGUAAAGGGCGCGUAGGCGGUCAGCACAAGUCAGUUGUGAAAUCUCCGGGCUUAACUCGGAAAGGUCAACUGAUACUGUGCGACUAGAGUGCGGAAGGGGCAACUGGAAUUCUCGGUGUAGCGGUGAAAUGCGUAGAUAUCGAGAGGAACACCUGCGGCGAAGGCGGGUUGCUGGGACGGUACUGACGCUGAGACGCGAAAGCGUGGGGAGCGAACAGG
rnacentral:rRNA from 1 species